UACAGAUAAUUUAAUCAGACACUUUCUUCGUGAAAUAAUUAACCUUUUAGCAAGUUACAGUUGUGAUGUAC
rnacentral:snoRNA from 1 species